rnacentral:rRNA from 1 species
UACGUAGGGUGCGAGCGUUAAUCGGAAUUACUGGGCGUAAAGCGUGCGCAGGCGGUUCGUUAAGUCAGAUGUGAAAGCCCCGGGCUCAACCUGGGAACUGCAUUUGAAACUGGCGGGCUUGAGUAUGGCAGAGGGGGGUGGAAUUCCGCGUGUAGCAGUGAAAUGCGUAGAGAUGCGGAGGAACACCGAUGGCGAAGGCAGCCCCCUGGGCUAGCACUGACGCUCAGGCACAAAAGCGUGGGGAGCAAACAGG